AAGCUUGACUCCUCUUCGGCAUGAGACUAAGGAAGCUCCCCAAGUUCCAGUCAGAGCUCAUAAAACUCAGCAGCAAAUCUGAACUUCCAGCUCCAUGGCUUGGAGGAAGAAGCCUAGGAAUAGUUAUCAACUCCUUCCCCUGUCCUUGGCUUGACCUCCCUCCCUCCCUCCUUCUCACCACACCAGUUGGAAAUCAUGAAGACAAUCUGUUCCCAAGAGCAAGGCUGGAGGGCGGAAGGCUGGCUGGGCUGAUGGGACCAACGCUUGUCAGAAAUGAACAGGCUCAUGCGACAGUGAAGACAGAGCAGAGGGAAACAGCUUUUGGCUUCAUGCUUUGACAAAGUGCCCUGAGACCGUUUGUCCAUGUGUGUGCGUAUUUCUGUUCGGUAAAUCCUGGAAGGCCAGUGCAGUGGGAGAAUCCAUAUGUUUUCAGCCUCUAAAACAUGCCAGGUAGUUAUAGUUGACAGUGGGGUAUGUGAGAAACUAUAUGGUACUGGCCUCAUUCUUCAUGCUGCCACUCUGGCCUUUGACCUUGGAGUGGGGAAUUCCUUAAAUUCACACAUCCCUGAGCCCCUUUGUGGGUGACCCAGGCCCUGGCAUACACUGUACAAUUAACAAAUGUCAGCUGAAUGAGUAGAAUGAAUAAACAAAAAAGAGUCAUUGUGUAA
rnacentral:lncRNA from 1 species